rnacentral:rRNA from 1 species
CACGUAGGGUGCGAGCGUUGUCCGGAAUUAUUGGGCGUAAAGAGCUCGUAGGCGGUUUGUCGCGUCUGCCGUGAAACCCGAGGCUUAACCUCGGGCUGGCGGUGGAUACGGGCAGACUAGAGGUAGGUAGGGGAGAAUGGAAUUCCCGGUGUAGCGGUGAAAUGCGCAGAUAUCGGGAGGAACACCGGUGGCGAAGGCGGUUCUCUGGGCCUUACCUGACGCUGAGGAGCGAAAGCGUGGGGAGCGAACAGG